rnacentral:rRNA from 1 species
UACGUAGGAUGCAAGCGUUGUCCGGAUUUACUGGGCGUAAAGCGCGCGCAGGCGGCAGAGUAAGUAAGGUGUGAAAUCUCCCUGCUCAACGGGGAGGGUGCAUUUUAGACUACUCAGCUAGAGGUCGGUAGAGGGGGGUGGAAUUGCUGGUGUAGCGGUGAAAUGCGUAGAGAUCAGCAGGAACACCCGUGGCGAAGGCGGCCCCCUGGGCCGUACCUGACGCUGAGGCGCGAAGGCUAGGGGAGCGAACGGG